UGCGUCUGUGAUUGGAGUAUCAUGGUCUUCAAUUUUGGUCUGGGGUUUCAAAUCGAGGCUUUUUGAAACGAUUAAAGACUAUAUAAGUACCACAAAAGAGUAACAUUUUACACACAAAAAAAUAACUACAAUGAAGUUUGCUGUCCUUCUAGUGUUCGCUGCUCUUCUCGUUGCCUCACAGGCAGCACCUGAGGCGUGCGGCAGUGGUUGUGCUGCUGCCGGCUCUAACGGUCACUCCUUCUGUAACAACCUCUGCACUAACUGUACCGGCAACGUCAACUGCAACCACCACCUGGACGAGUGUGAAUGCCAUCCUCAAGAUGUUUAAGGUAUGAAGUCUUUGGAAGAGCCAAAGAAGCCAAACAUGUGACAUAGCUGACAAAUAAACUUUAAUAACAUCA